UAAAGCGUGCGUAGGGCGGUUUAUUAAGUCAGAUGUGAAAGCCCCGGGCUUAACCUGGGAAACUGCAUUUGAAACUGGUAAACUAGAGUAUGGUAGAGGAAAGUGGAAUUUCUGGUGUAGCGGUGAAAUGCGUAGAUAUCAGAAGGAACAUCAAUGGCGAAGGCAGCUUUCUGGACCCAAUACUGACGCUGAGGUACGAAAGCGUGGGUAGCAAACAGGAUUAGAUACCCUGGUAGUCCACGCCGUAAAACGAUGAUAACUAGCCGUUGGGGGGAUUUACCCCUUUAGUGGCGAAGCUAACGCGUUAAGUUAUCCGCCUGGGGAGUACGGCCGCAAGGUUAAAACUCAAAGGAAUUGACGGGGACCCGCACAAGCGGUGGAGCAUGUGGUUUAAUUCGAUGCAACGCGAAGAACCUUACCUGGUCUUGACAUCCUGCGAACUUUCUAGAAAUAGAUUGGUGCCUUCGGGAACGCAGUGACAGGUGCUGCAUGGCUGUCGUCAGCUCGUGUCGUGAGAUGUUGGGUUAAGUCCCGUAACGAGCGCAACCCCUAUCCUUAUUUGCCAGCACAUUAUGGUGGGAACUAUAAGGAGACUGCCGGUGAUAAACCGGAGGAAGGCGGGGACGACGUCAAGUCAUCAUGGCCCUUACGACCAGGGCUACACACGUGCUACAAUGGGAAGGACAAAGAGCCGCGAAGCCGCGAGGUGUAGCUAAUCUCAUAAACCUUUUCGUAGUCCGGAUUGGAGUCUGCAACUCGACUCCAUGAAGUCGGAAUCGCUAGUAAUCGUAGAUCAGAAUGCUACGGUGAAUACGUUCCCGGGUCUUGUACACACCGCCCGUCAUACCAUGGGAGUGGGUUGCACCAGAAGUGGCUAGUCUAACUUAGUGAGGACGGUCACCACGGUGUGAUUCAUGACUGGGGUAAAGUCGUAACAAGGUAACCGUA
rnacentral:rRNA from 1 species